GUAGUACAUAAAUAAACAAAAUGGCGGCACAAAUUUAUACUAUUUAAACUGCUGUUUUCGUGGCUUUGUGUUAAAAUAAAGAAUGUAAAGAGAAGAAAAAUACAUAACAGGCAACAGGAUAUGCUGCUGAAACCAUUUAAGUAGGUUUUUUAAAUUUUAAACUUGUUUACGCUAUAGAGUAUUUGUCAUGAAAUACAAAUAUUGUUGUAUGGAUGUUGUUCAAUGUUGAUAUUUGUUUCGUCGCUAUAUAACAAAACACUUAACGUCUUUUCCCUCGGGAAAUAGUUAGUUUUGUUUUCCCUCGAAUCUCAAUGUUUCUCUCGACUUCGUCUCGGGAAACAUUGAGAUUCUCGGGAAAACAAAACUAACUAUAACUAACUAUUGCCCUCGGGUGCAGACAUUAAGUGUAUAAUAUACACUUAAUGUCUGCUCCCGAGGGAAAUAGUUUUGUUUUCCCGAGAAUCUCAAUGUUUCCCGAGACGAAGUCGAGGGAAACAUUAAGAUUCGAGGGAAAACAAAACUAACUAUUUCCCGAGGGAACAGGCAUUAAGUGUUUUGUUUAAACUCGGACUCUAACAUCUAACCCAAAUCUAAUCUUAAUAUGACCCAAAUCUAAUCUUAAUAUGACCCUAAUCUAACCCUAAACUUGACGACCUUUUCUUUUUGAAAACAAGGUUCUCGGCCUACACCAAACUUUGUUACCAGUGGUACCCUGAUGGCAAUGGUGGUCAGUGUGGUGCUGGCGAACCCAGACGUCUUUGCACACACGUCAACUCAGCCACCCAAUAUUACCGAGACGACACAGACAACAGAGGAGGCGGCUGUCGCAUGAGCUGGUCCAUCGAAUCACCUUAUAGCCCCACAGUGGUUCAAGAACGUGCAAAUAUGCUACCGAUGGUACCCGGAUGGUGACGGCGGUCAGUGUGGAGGUGCGGCGGCACACAUACUGUGUGCUCCAGUGCGGUAAAUACACGGCGGUCUACCGAGAUGACACCGAUAAUCGCGGCGGUGGGUGUAGAAUGUCUUGGCAGCUUAAACUACCAUCUGUGCAUAGUUGGUGGGCAAGGAAUAUCCAAUUGUGUUACGAAUGGUAUCCAGAUGGUGAUGGUGGACAGUGUGGUGGUGGUGCUGCUCGCAAGCUUUGUGCUUUGGCCAACUUCUGGACUCCUUACUACAGAGAUGAUACCGACAACAGAGGAGGUGGAUGCCGCAUGAGAUGGGGUCUUUAUUACUAGUGAAAUAAAAUUGGACUGACUUGUAUUACUAGUGUUUAGUCUUUCUAAGAUUUUCAUAAUGUUGCUGUAGAUCUGCUUGCGUAAUUCUGCUAUAAAAUUUGCACAAUUUUUUCAGAUUUCAUAAUUUUAAAUUAAACGGAUUUAUGAAAUAAAUGAUAUCAAG